GACGGGUAUCGUCCAGCGGGGCAGAUACAGCAGGACUUUACCCUGGGACGUGGCUAUAAAAAGCCUGGAGUCUCGGUGUGUGAGACACAGGUCUGCACCAAGGAGAGACUCCAGGAUCGAGCAGCUGCUGAACGCUGAACCUUCAGAAUCAAAAACCAAUCAUGAAGACCCUGCUGGUUCUGGCUCUUGCCCUCGUCUCUGUGUGCAAUGCCAACAUCCUGUGGCCUGAACCUGCCAAGACCAACCUGGAGGUGGUGAAAGAUGCAUUCUGGGACUACGUGGCCAAAGCCACCCUGACGGCCGAGGACUCACUGAAGCAGAUCAGAGAGUCUGAGCUCGGACAGGAAGUCAAGUAAGAACAAAAGAAAUACAAA